rnacentral:tRNA from 1 species
GCCCGGGUGGUGGAAUCGGUAGACACAAGGGACUUAAAAUCCCUCGCCCUAAUACGGCGUGCCGGUUCGAAUCCGGCCUCGGGCACCA